rnacentral:pre_miRNA from 1 species
GGGGGGAGGCAGGAUCCUGGGCUGUGUCCCGGCGCCCUGUGCUCCGGAGCCUGCGCUGUUGGAUUCGCGCUCCCGGCCGUGCAGCCCCCU